rnacentral:rRNA from 1 species
UACAGAGGGGGCAAGCGUUGUUCGGAAUUACUGGGCGUAAAGGGCGCGUAGGCGGCCUUCUAAGUCGAACGUGAAAUCCCCGGGCUCAACCCGGGAACUGCGUCCGAUACUGGAAGGCUUGAAUCCGGGAGAGGGAUGCGGAAUUCCAGGUGUAGCGGUGAAAUGCGUAGAUAUCUGGAGGAACACCGAUGGCGAAGGCAGGUCUCUGGGCAUUAACUGACGCUGAGGAGCGAAAGCAUGGGGAGCGAACAGG